rnacentral:rRNA from 1 species
AGAGUUUGAUCCUGGCUCAGAUUGAACGCUGGCGGCAUGCCUAACACAUGCAAGUCGUACGGAAACGAUGGGAGCUUGCUCCCAGGCGUCGAGUGGCGGACGGGUGAGUAAUACUUAGGAAUCUGCCCAGUAGUGGGGGACAACUCGAGGAAACUCGAGCUAAUACCGCAUACGACCUACGGGUGAAAGCAGGGGAUCUUCGGACCUUGCGCUAUUGGAUGAGCCUAAGUCGGAUUAGCUUGUUGGUGAGGUAAAGGCUCACCAAGGCGACGAUCCGUAGCUGGUCUGAGAGGACGAUCAGCCACACUGGGACUGAGACACGGCCCAGACUCCUACGGGAGGCAGCAGUGGGGAAUAUUGGACAAUGGGGGAAACCCUGAUCCAGCAAUGCCGCGUGAGUGAAGAAGGCCUUAGGGUUGUAAAACUCUUUCGCCGGUGAAGAUGAUGACUGUAACCGGUAAAGAAGCCCCGCUAACU